rnacentral:lncRNA from 1 species
AGUCACAGCCUCAGCCGCAGCGGCCGUGCUACCUAGGUGAUAGCGGAGCGGCUGGGUAGGAAGCAAUUGUUCUCAAACUUCACUAGCCCCGUCGGCGCGGACGCUUGUCGAGAAUGCAGAUUCCUGGGUACUGCCAGAUACGAAUUGAGCAUACCACAAAAAAGUUCUCAUUUUGUGUCCUCCCAUCCCAUUCUCCUCACUAACCAAAGGACCAGCAAUGCUUCUUCACCUAGAGACACUUCUCCCAGCAGUGGCAGUGCCACUUCAGCUUCUUUCAGCACUACUGGAAUCAGCCUCAGUGAUUCCCCCUGUACCCGCUCAGAGAUUAUCCACAGCAGCCAGAUGGUUCUACCUUCCACAAAGAUUGUGGUUGCAAUUCUGGGCUUCUAAGUUCUGGUUACUUCAUAUUUUUCCUUUUGUUCCUCCAGCCCUAGAGGUGGUAGCUGCUUUCUGAAGUUAUUAUUUCUAGAUGACUUUUGGUUUUUCAGCCUUUGUAUUUUGCUUUUCAGCCCUCUAAUGCCUGUAUAACCAAUUUCCCUGUAAUAAAUAAAUUUCCUCCAUUGAAAUACCUAGUAUGGCUUUUUUUUUGUUUGUUUUUCUGACUGGACUGACAUAAAGAGGACUGCUCAUUAUAUGCCAGCUCAGAACCACUUAAUUAUGAAAAUAGUAUAUUCAUUGUCUCCACUCCUCCAAAAAUUCUGAGAUUAAUUUGUAGAUGUCGCCGGCCUUGAAUGAAAUGCUUAGUUCCUUGCCAAUGGAAAACAAGAUUCUGGUAAUCUAUAACAUAAGUAGGAUCAUGAUUAAUUAAAGUAUCAUCUAUGGUUUCUUGGGAAAAAAUACCUAUUGAAGUAGUUGCCUUCAGGGAUCAAGUGGCUGCUGCAUUUUACCAUUGUGGUAGUACAGAUGACAACAAGGACUGUGAGUGGGAUGACAUCUAUGCACUGGAAACCUUACAGGCAGAAAGUGACAAAUUGAAGACUUUGAAGUCUAAGUUCAAGUCAAAUUGAGACAGAGAACUUCUAUAGCAACUUUGAAAAAAGUUUCUGAUUUCUUAUAGCUAUAAGAUCAACAUUAUUAAAAAUAUAACUAGGUGGGUUGCAGAAUUAAAAUGGAAAUUAAAUUUAGAGACUCAUCAAGUCAUUUAUGUGACAAUCAGGGCACUGGGAGCAAGCGGGAUUCUAAGACUUGCGUUGGACUUGGAUGAAGCUAAAUGCCCAGGUCCCUCUGAAUAAGCAGAAGCAGUCCCUCUUAUAACAGAGAAGAUUGCCAGGCGCGGUGGCUCACGCCUGUCAUCUAGCACUUUGGGAGGCCGGGGAGGGCGGAUCACCUGAGGUCGGGAGUUCAAGACCAGCCUGACCAACACGGAGAAACCUUGUCUCUACUAAAAAAAUACAAAAUUAACCAGACGUGGUGGUGCAUGCCUGCAAUCCCAGCUACUCAGGAGGCUGACGCAGGAGAAUUGCUUGAACCCGGGAGGCUGAGGUUGCGGUGAGCCGAGAUCACGCCAUUGUACUCCAGGCUGGGCAACAAGAGCGAAACUCCGUCUCGGGAAAAAAAAAAAAAAAAAAAAAGGCUGGGUGUGGUGGCUCACGCCUGUAAUCCCAGCACUUUGGGAGGCCGAGGCGGGUUGCGGUGAGCCGAGAUUGCGCCAUUGCACUCCAGCCUGGGCAACAAGAGCGAAACUCCGUCUCAAAAAACAAAAACAAAAACAACAGAGAAGAUUGACCUUUCCUUCUUGAAAACUCUAUAAUCAAUUCAUCUGAAGCAGCUGCCUUACAAGGGAUACUUAUUAUCCUCAAGACCCAUCCCCAUUGCUGAUUAUUUUUUAGUCUAGACCUAAACUUGAGUUAGAUCUCAGCAUACUCAAACAGAAUGGAGAUUCAGACCUGGGGAUAAAUUGCCUAUACCUAAAAAAAAAAAAAAAAAAAAAAAAAAAAGCAGGAUUUUGAUAAUUCAUAUAGAAAAAACCAAGAAAAUAUGUGUGAGAAUAGUAUACAAGGGUGUUAGGCUAAAAGGAACAGAAUAUAAUUUUGUCUCAGGAUUAACAUAUUGAUAUAAGAACAUUUACCAGAUAGUCUAGAUUUAAUGUUUUAGAUAAAGCUAGAAAUGGCUCUAAUAGCUUUCUGGAAUGACUAAAUUUUUGCCUCAUUGAUGGCCUACAUUCGAUGAAGUUUGGUGCCAUAACUUCUCUUGCAUAAUAUUUGAAAGGACUCCAAAAGCUAAAGAGAUAGGAAUGUUGGAAUAGAUUUUCAUAUGAGACCAGUGUACCCAUUUCUCUCUCCUACAUCUUUCAAGAAGUCUCAGAGGAGAUUUCCUUCCCUAAAGCAAAAAGAAAAACAUUAGUGAGGAAGAUACGAGGAUCCUUGACAAGCUCUGUGGUGUGUGUUCUUUAUAGCCCAGGAAUGAUCAUGGAAGAUACUGGCAUUGAAAUGGACAUAAUACCACCGUUUAUUCACCUUAAUAAUAUUUCUCUGCCCGCUUUUCUUUCAUAAACACACGUGAAGUCCUAUUCUUCUGGAGCAAGAGGAAUUGCUAGAGGAAGUGAAAAGUGUUUGCAUUUCAGAUCUCUCUUAUUUUUGCCAUUGACUGCUGAAAAAUUUUGUCUAGCUACUCUAGGGAGAGGUGGGAAUUUCAAAGAUUGCUGAAGAUAAUAGCAGACCUGGCCCAAGUGUUCUCAAAUCCUAACUCUUAGUUACUAAAAUGAAGAUGAAA